rnacentral:rRNA from 1 species
GAUGAACGCUGGCGGCGUGCCUAACACAUGCAAGUCGAACGAAGAGGCCCCUUCGGGGGUACUUCAGCGGCGGACGGGUGAGUAACACGUAGGUGACCUGCCCCGAAGUGUGGAAUAACAGUCCGAAAGGAUUGCUAAUACCGCAUGUGGUCUGUGAGGUUAGAGUCUUGCAGACUAAAGCAGUAAUGUGCUUCGGGAGGGGCCUGCGCCCCAUCAGCUAGUUGGUAGGGUAAUGGCCUACCAAGGCAACAACGGGUAGGGGGCCUGAGAGGGUGACCCCCCACAUUGGCACUGACACACGGGCCAAACUCCUACGGGAGGCAGCAGUGAGGAAUAUUGCUCAAUGGGCGAAAGCCUGAAGCAGCAACGCCGCGUGCGCGAUGAAGGCCUUCGGGUCGUAAAGCGCUUUUGAGAGGGACGAGAUAGGACGGUACCUCUGGAAUAAGUCACGGCUAACUACGUGCCAGCAGCCGCGGUAAGAC